AACCGGUGAGGAGGAAACGGAUAGAGUCGGCGUAUCUUGCAAGUAUUCAAUUACUUUAUUAUUGUGUUGUUAUCUCUGAGCUCCAGAUUGGGACAGAGGAAAGCAGCAUGAUUUAAUGUGAUGCAUUUACUUGUCUGGUGUGUGGGGGUAUCUAAGAUGGAUUUGCAACCAAUGUUUUGAGGCCAGCUUGCUGGUACCCAAACAUUGUUAACAUUUUUUAUCUUGGAUAUUCGAGUACGGCUUACGUGCAUUUUUUGUAUUGAUCUAAGUGCAAGUUACGGUCGCAUGCGACACGUGCUUUUCAUUUAGUUCGGUGCAGUUAAUGCUCUCGUACUCUCCCCCCAUGUAAAGGCCGGUCAUCUAUUUGACCCGUCUUGAAACACGGACCAAGGAGUUUAUCGUGUGCGCAAGUUUUUGGGUGUUAAAAACCUAGAAGCGAAAUGAAAGUAAAUGAUUCUUUAGAGUCUGAUGUGCAAUCUUUUUUCAGAAAAGUGCAUCAUGGCCCCAUUCUAACUGUUUACAGUAGGGUGGCGGAAGAGCGUACGCGGUGAGACCCGAAAGAUGGUGAACUAUUCCUGAGCAGGACGAAGCCAGAGGAAACUCUGGUGGAAGUCCGAAGCGGUUCUGACG
rnacentral:rRNA from 1 species